rnacentral:rRNA from 1 species
UACGUAGGGUGCAAGCGUUGUCCGGAAUUAUUGGGCGUAAAGAGCUCGUAGGCGGUUUGUCGCGUCUGCUGUGAAAACUCAGGGCUUAACUCUGAGCUUGCAGUGGGUACGGGCAGACUAGAGUGCGGUAGGGGAGACUGGAAUUCCCGGUGUAGCGGUGAAAUGCGCAGAUAUCGGGAGGAACACCGGCGGCGAAGGCGGAUCUCUGGGCCGAUACUGACGCUGAGGAGCGAAAGCGUGGGGAGCGAACAGG